AUUGAACGCUGGCGGCAGGCCUAACACAUGCAAGUCGAACGGUAACAGAAAGCAGCUUGCUGCUUUGCUGACGAGUGGCGGACGGGUGAGUAAUGUCUGGGAAACUGCCUGAUGGAGGGGGAUAACUACUGGAAACGGUAGCUAAUACCGCAUAACGUCGCAAGACCAAAGAGGGGGACCUUCGGGCCUCUUGCCAUCGGAUGUGCCCAGAUGGGAUUAGCUAGUAGGUGGGGUAAAGGCUCACCUAGGCGACGAUCCCUAGCUGGUCUGAGAGGAUGACCAGCCACACUGGAACUGAGACACGGUCCAGACUCCUACGGGAGGCAGCAGUGGGGAAUAUUGCACAAUGGGCGCAAGCCUGAUGCAGCCAUGCCGCGUGUAUGAAGAAGGCCUUCGGGUUGUAAAGUACUUUCAGCGGGGAGGAAGGGAGUAAAGUUAAUACCUUUGCUCAUUGGCGUUACCCGCAGAAGAAGCACCGGCUAACUCCGUG
rnacentral:rRNA from 1 species